UACGUAGGUGGCAAGCGUUGUCCGGAAUUAUUGGGCGUAAAGCGCGCGCAGGCGGUCCUUUAAGUCUGAUGUGAAAGCCCACGGCUCGACCGUGGAAGGUCAUUGGAAACUGGGGGACUUGAGUGCAGAAGAGGAAAGUGGAAUUCCAAGUGUAGCGGUGAAAUGCGUAGAGAUUUGGAGGAACACCAGUGGCGAAGGCGACUUUCUGGUCUGUAACUGACGCUGAGGCGCGAAAGCGUGGGGAGCAAACAGG
rnacentral:rRNA from 1 species